CCAAUAGCGUAUAUUAAAGUUGUUGCAGUUAAAAAGCUCGUAGUUGAAUUUCGGGAUCGACGGGUCGGUCGCGCCUCUGGUGUGUACUGGCCCUGUCGGUUUCUCCCUUCUGAAGAACCGCGAUGUCAUUAAUUUGGUGUCGUGGGAAAUCAGGACUGUUACUUUGAAAAAAUUAGAGUGUUUAAAGCAGGCAUUCGCUUGAAUACAUUAGCAUGGAAUAAUGAAAUAGGACGUUUGAUCUUAUUUUGUUGGUUUCUAAGAUCGACGUAAUGAUUAAUAGGGAUAGUUGGGGGCAUUAGUAUUCAAUUGUCAGAGGUGAAAUUCUUGGAUUUAUUGAAGACUAACUACUGCGAAAGCAUUUGCCAAGGAUGUUUUCAUUAAUCAAGAACGAAAGUUAGGGGAUCGAAGACGAUCAGAUACCGUCGUAGUCUUAACCAUAAACUAUGCCGACUAGGGAUCGGAUGAUGUUAAUUUUUUAAUGACUCAUUCGGCGCCUUACG
rnacentral:rRNA from 1 species